rnacentral:lncRNA from 1 species
CGCUGAGUUUUGAAGAGAUUUGCCCGUUCGCUACGGACUUUAGCAGAAUCAUGGGUAUUGGUAGUCUAAUUUUCAUACCUUAUAGGUCGAGCUUUCUAUUGCCCCAUCGGACCAGAUGGAGAGACUCACACGACCUUCUAAACUCCAUAUACAUGUGUCAUGAUUUUAAUGGGUCCUAUUUUUUAUUCGUUAUCAUUUAGUUUGAACAAUUUUAAAUUAAUUGAAUAAUUUGAAUAAUGAGAGGUAAUUUAUUGGUACCUUCUUCUCCAACUACAAAAAAUGAAAUUAGAAUCCAUGGUGAAUUAAU